rnacentral:rRNA from 1 species
AUUGAACGCUGGCGGCAUGCCUUACACAUGCAAGUCGAACGGCAGCACGGGUGCUUGCCCCUGGUGGCGAGUGGCGCACGGGUGAGUAAUACAUCGGAACAUGUCCUGUAGUGGGGGAUAGCCCGGCGAAAGCCGGAUUAAUACCGCAUACGAUCUACGGAUGAAAGCGGGGGACCUUCUGGCCUCGCGCUUUAGGGUUGGCCGAUGGCUGAUUAGCUAGUUGGUGGGGUAAAGGCCUACCAAGGCGACGAUCAGUAGCUGGUCUGAGAGGACGACCAGCCACACUGGGACUGAGACACGGCCCAGACUCCUACGGGAGGCAGCAGUGGGGAAUUUUGGACAAUGGGCGAAAGCCUGAUCCAGCAAUGCCGCGUGUGUGAAGAAGGCCUUCGGGUUGUAAAGCACUUUUGUCCGGAAAGAAAUCCUUGGCCCUAAUACGGUCGGGGGAUGACGGUACCGGAAGAAUAAGCACCGGCUAACUACGUG